CCUCUCUCUCUCCCCUCUCUCAGGCAAUCAAAUGAUCAGUGUCAGAUCAAACUGCAUGCUUCAUAAAUGAUCAGUGGAUGGCAACGCAAGCUCGAUACGGAUUAUGAUGUGAUGAAGACAUUACAUAUUGUUAUUCAAAGUUGACUAGGCGCAAUCCCUUUCCUACACAAUCGAAGGACUCAUGGCCCC